GAUGAACGCUGGCGGCGUGCUUAACACAUGCCAGUCGAACGAUGAAGCCCAGCUUGCUGGGUGGAUUAGUGGCGAACGGGUGAGUAACACGUGAGUAACCUGCCCUUAACUCUGGGAUAAGCCUGGGAAACUGGGUCUAAUACCGGAUAGGAGCGUCCACCGCAUGGUGGGUGUUGGAAAGAUUUAUCGGUUUUGGAUGGACUCGCGGCCUAUCAGCUUGUUGGUGAGGUAAUGGCUCACCAAGGCGACGACGUGUAGCCGGCCUGAGAGGGUGACCGGCCACACUGGGACUGAGACACGGCCCAGACUCCUACGGGAGGCAGCAGUGGGGAAUAUUGCACAAUGGGCGCAAGCCUGAUGCAGCGACGCCGCGUGAGGGAUGACGGCCUUCGGGUUGUAAACCUCUUUCAGUAGGGAAGAAGCGAAAGUGACGGUACCUGCAGAAGAAGCACCGGCUAACUACGUG
rnacentral:rRNA from 1 species